AAUCAACGCUGGCGGCGUGCCUCAGACAUGCAAGUCGAACGAUUAAGACUCUCUUCGGAGAGUGCAUAAAGUGGCGCACGGGUGAGUAACACGUAAGUAAUCUACCCUCGAGUGGGGAAUAACAACCGGAAACGGUUGCUAAUACCGCAUAAUGCAGCGGCACCGCAAGGUGACAGUUGUUAAAGAUUUAUCGCUUGGGGAGGAGCUUGCGGCAGAUUAGCUAGUUGGUAAGGUAAUGGCUUACCAAGGCUACGAUCUGUAACCGGUCUAAGAGGACGGUCGGUCACACUGACACUGAAUAACGGGUCAGACUCCUACGGGAGGCAGCAGUC
rnacentral:rRNA from 1 species